rnacentral:rRNA from 1 species
CGGCUCAAGAACGAACGCUGGCGCAUGCCUAACACAUGCAAGUCGAACGAGACCUUCGGGUCUAGUGGCGCACGGGUGCGUAACACGUGGGAAUUUGCCUCGGGGUAUGGAAUAACUCAGGGAAACUUGAGCUAAUACCAUAUAAUGUCUUCGGACCAAAGAUUUAUCGCCCUGAGAUAAGCCCGCGUAGGAUUAGCUAGUUGGUGGGGUAAAGGCUCACCAAGGCGACGAUCCUUAGCUGGUCUGAGAGGAUGAUCAGCCACACUGGGACUGAGACACGGCCCAGACUCCUACGGGAGGCAGCAGUGGGGAAUAUUGGACAAUGGGCGAAAGCCUGAUCCAGCAAUGCCGCGUGAGUGAUGAAGGCCUUCGGGUUGUAAAGCUCUUUUACUCGGGACGAUAAUGACGGUACCGAGAGAAUAAGCCCCGGCUAACUCCGUG